GUACACUCCUGCGGGAGGCAGCAGUGGGGAAUUUUGGACAAUGGGCGAAAGCCUGAUCCAGCCAUGCCGCGUGCAGGAUGAAGGCCUUCGGGUUGUAAACUGCUUUUGUACGGAACGAAACGGCCUUUUCUAAUAAAGAGGGCUAAUGACGGUACCGUAAGAAUAAGCACCGGCUAACUACGUGCCAGCAGCCGCGGUAAUACGUAGGGUGCAAGCGUUAAUCGGAAUUACUGGGCGUAAAGCGUGCGCAGGCGGUUAUGUAAGACAGUUGUGAAAUCCCCGGGCUCAACCUGGGAACUGCAUCUGUGACUGCAUAGCUAGAGUACGGUAGAGGGGGAUGGAAUUCCGCGUGUAGCAGUGAAAUGCGUAGAUAUGCGGAGGAACACCGAUGGCGAAGGCAAUCCCCUGGACCUGUACUGACGCUCAUGCACGAAAGCGUGGGGAGCAAACAGGAUUAGAAACCCCGGUAGUCCCAU
rnacentral:rRNA from 1 species